GUGAAAUUCCGUCGGAAUCUGGGAGGACCAUCUCCUAAGGCUAAAUACUCUCUAGUGACCGAUAGUGAACCAGUACCGUGAGGGAAAGGUGAAAAGCACCCCGGAAGGGGAGUGAAAUAGAACCUGAAACCGUGUGCUUACAAGUAGUCAGAGCCCGUUAAUGGGUGAUGGCGUGCCUUUUGUAGAAUGAACCGGCGAGUUACGAUUUGAUGCAAGGUUAAGCAGUAAAUGUGGAGCCGUAGCGAAAGCGAGUCUGAAUAGGGCGUUUAGUAUUUGGUCGUAGACCCGAAACCAGGUGAUCUACCCUUGGUCAGGUUGAAGUUCAGGUAACACUGAAUGGAGGACCGAACCGACUUACGUUGAAAAGUGAGCGGAUGAACUGAGGGUAGCGGAGAAAUUCCAAUCGAACCUGGAGAUAGCUGGUUCUCUCCGAAAUAGCUUUAGGGCUAGCCUCAAGUGAUGAUUAUUGGAGGUAGAGCACUGUUUGGACGAGGGGCCCCUCUCGGGUUACCGAAUUCAGACAAACUCCGAAUGCCAAUUAAUUUAACUUGGGAGUCAGAACAUGGGUGAUAAGGUCCGUGUUCGAAAGGGAAACAGCCCAGACCACCAGCUAAGGUCCCAAAAUAUAUGUUAAGUGGAAAAGGAUGUGGCGUUGCCCAGACAACUAGGAUGUUGGCUUAGAAGCAGCCAUCAUUUAAAGAGUGCGUAAUAGCUCACUAGUCGAGUGACACUGCGCCGAAAAUGUACCGGGGCUAAACAUAUUACCGAAGCUGUGGAUUGUCCUUUGGACAAUGGUAGGAGAGCGUUCUAAGGGCGUUGAAGCAUGAUCGUAAGGACAUGUGGAGCGCUUAGAAGUGAGAAUGCCGGUGUGAGUAGCGAAAGACGGGUGAGAAUCCCGUCCACCGAUUGACUAAGGUUUCCAGAGGAAGGCUCGUCCGCUCUGGGUUAGUCGGGUCCUAAGCUGAGGCCGACAGGCGUAGGCGAUGGAUAACAGGUUGAUAUUCCUGUACCACCUAUAAUCGUUUUAAUCGAUGGGGGGACGCAGUAGGAUAGGCGAAGCGUGCGAUUGGAUUGCACGUCUAAGCAGUAAGGCUGAGUAUUAGGCAAAUCCGGUACUCGUUAAGGCUGAGCUGUGAUGGGGAGAAGACAUUGUGUCUUCGAGUCGUUGAUUUCACACUGCCGAGAAAAGCCUCUAGAUAGAAAAUAGGUGCCCGUACCGCAAACCGACACAGGUAGUCAAGAUGAGAAUUCUAAGGUGAGCGAGCGAACUCUCGUUAAGGAACUCGGCAAAAUGACCCCGUAACUUCGGGAGAAGGGGUGCUCUUUAGGGUUAACGCCCAGAAGAGCCGCAGUGAAUAGGCCCAAGCGACUGUUUAUCAAAAACACAGGUCUCUGCUAAACCGUAAGGUGAUGUAUAGGGGCUGACGCCUGCCCGGUGCUGGAAGGUUAAGAGGAGUGGUUAGCUUCUGCGAAGCUACGAAUCGAAGCCCCAGUAAACGGCGGCCGUAACUAUAACGGUCCUAAGGUAGCGAAAUUCCUUGUCGGGUAAGUUCCGACCCGCACGAAAGGCGUAACGAUUUGGGCACUGUCUCAACGAGAGACUCGGUGAAAUCAUAGUACCUGUGAAGAUGCAGGUUACCCGCGACAGGACGGAAAGACCCCGUGGAGCUUUACUGUAGCCUGAUAUUGAAAUUCGGCACAGCUUGUACAGGAUAGGUAGGAGCCUUUGAAACGUGAGCGCUAGCUUACGUGGAGGCGCUGGUGGGAUACUACCCUAGCUGUGUUGGCUUUCUAACCCGCACCACUUAUCGUGGUGGGAGACAGUGUCAGGCGGGCAGUUUGACUGGGGCGGUCGCCUCCUAAAAGGUAACGGAGGCGCUCAAAGGUUCCCUCAGAAUGGUUGGAAAUCAUUCAUAGAGUGUAAAGGCAUAAGGGAGCUUGACUGCGAGACCUACAAGUCGAGCAGGGUCGAAAGACGGACUUAGUGAUCCGGUGGUUCCGCAUGGAAGGGCCAUCGCUCAACGGAUAAAAGCUACCCCGGGGAUAACAGGCUUAUCUCCCCCAAGAGUUCACAUCGACGGGGAGGUUUGGCACCUCGAUGUCGGCUCAUCGCAUCCUGGGGCUGUAGUCGGUCCCAAGGGUUGGGCUGUUCGCCCAUUAAAGCGGUACGCGAGCUGGGUUCAGAACGUCGUGAGACAGUUCGGUCCCUAUCCGUCGUGGGCGUAGGAAAUUUGAGAGGAGCUGUCCUUAGUACGAGAGGACCGGGAUGGACAUACCUCUGGUGUACCAGUUGUCGUGCCAACGGCAUAGCUGGGUAGCUAUGUGUGGACGGGAUAAGUGCUGAAAGCAUCUAAGCAUGAAGCCCCCCUCAAGAUGAGAUUUCCCAACUUCGGUUAUAAGAUCCCUCAAAGA
rnacentral:rRNA from 1 species